rnacentral:rRNA from 1 species
CCUACGGGGAGCAGCAGUGGGGAAUAUUUGGCAAUGGAGGCAACUCUGACCCAGCAACGCCGCGUGAAGGAAGAAGGCCUCAGGGUUGUAAACUUAUGUUGUACAGUAAGAAAAGAAUGCCGGUACUUUACAAGAAAGCCCCGGCUAACUCUGUGCCAGCAGCCGCGGUAAGACCUAGGGGGCAAGCGUUGUUCGGAAUUACUGGGCGUAAAUGGAGCGUAGGCGGGAGAUUAAGUUAUGAGUGAAAGCCUUGGGCUCAACCCAAGAAAUGCUCUUAAUACUGGUUUUCGAGAGUGUGGGAGAGGUAAGUGGAAUUCCUAGUGUAGCAGUAGAAUGAGUAGAGAUUAGGAGGAACAUCAGAGGCGAAGGCGGCUUACUGGACCAUAACUGACGCUGAGGCUCGAAAGCGUGGGGAGCAAACAGGAUUAGAUACCCCUGUAGUC